AUACGGAGGAUGCGAGCGUUAUCCGGAUUUAUUGGGUUUAAAGGGAGCGUAGGUGGGCUAUUAAGUCAGCUGUGAAAGUUUGGGGCUCAACCUUAAAAUUGCAGUUGAUACUGGUUUCCUUGAGUACGGUACAGGUGGGCUGAAUUCGUGGUGUAGCGGUGAAAUGCUUAGAUAUCACGAAGAACUCCGAUCGCGAAGGCAGCUCACCGGGCCGGAACUGACACUGAUGCUCGAAAGUGCGGGUAUCAAACAGGAUUAGAUACCCUGGUAGUCCGCACAGUAAACGAUGAAUACUCGCUGUUUGCGAUACACGGUAAGCGGCCAAGCGAAAGCGUUAAGUAUUCCACCUGGGGAGUACGCCGGCAACGGUGAAACUCAAAGGAAUUGACGGG
rnacentral:rRNA from 1 species